rnacentral:rRNA from 1 species
UACGGAGGGUGCAAGCGUUAUCCGGAUUCACUGGGUUUAAAGGGUGCGUAGGUGGCUUUGUAAGUCAGUGGUGAAAGCCCGGAGCUCAACUCCGGAACUGCCAUUGAUACUGCUUAGCUUGAAUCAAGUAGAGGUGGAUGGAAUAUUACAUGUAGCGGUGAAAUGCUUAGAUAUGUAAUAGAACACCGAUUGCGAAGGCAGUUCACUAUGCUUGUAUUGACACUGAGGCACGAAAGCGUGGGGAUCAAACAGG